rnacentral:misc_RNA from 1 species
CAAAUUUUGGUGAAUUCUUAUAGAAAUAAAGAAUCUUCUUAACAAUUCAGCCCACAUCAUUUUCAAUCUGCCUCUUUCUCGCUUCUCUUUCUCUCACCCCUGUAACACCUACAUGAUGUGUACAAUAUCCUUGAUCAACCCAAUAAUCAGACAAUUUCAAGGAAUCAUUAUGUGAACCAAAGAAGGGAUUUCUAUUUGUACCUAUUCAAUUUAGUUUUACAGGCAGAACUUUAAAA